rnacentral:rRNA from 1 species
UGGGGAAUAUUGCACAAUGGGGGAAACCCUGAUGCAGCGACGCCGCGUGAGCGAAGAAGUAUUUCGGUAUGUAAAGCUCUAUCAGCAGGGAAGAUAAUGACGGUACCUGACUAAGAAGCCCCGGCUAACUACGUGCCAGCAGCCGCGGUAAUACGUAGGGGGCAAGCGUUAUCCGGAUUUACUGGGUGUAAAGGGAGCGUAGACGGCAAGGCAAGUCUGAUGUGAAAACCCAGGGCUUAACCCUGGGACUGCAUUGGAAACUGUCUGGCUCGAGUGCCGGAGAGGUAAGCGGAAUUCCUAGUGUAGCGGUGAAAUGCGUAGAUAUUAGGAAGAACACCAGUGGCGAAGGCGGCUUACUGGACGGUAACUGACGUUGAGGCUCGAA